UACAGAGGAUGCAAGCGUUAUCCGGAAUGAUUGGGCGUAAAGCGCACGUAGGCGGCUUCUUAAGUCGGUGGUGAAAUCCUGGAGCUCAACUCCAGAACUGCCUUCGAUACUGGGAAGCUCGAGUCCGGGAGAGGUGAGUGGAACUGCGAGUGUAGAGGUGAAAUUCGUAGAUAUUCGCAAGAACACCAGUGGCGAAGGCGGCUCACUGGCCCGGUACUGACGCUGAGGUGCGAAAGCGUGGGGAGCAAACAGG
rnacentral:rRNA from 1 species